rnacentral:lncRNA from 1 species
CCCCUGGCAGACCCCAGCAGCUCCUGUGAGCCCUGCACCCAGGCUCUGCAUCCCCAGAGGCUCAGCAGGCAGAUCCCCAGAGCAGGGUGGCCCCCAGGAGCUCACAGGCCCCAGCACACUCUAGACAGACCCCAGAAGUCAGCCCUUCUGUGUGGGGAAGGAGGUGUUCCCUCUACCUUGUCCCGGAAUUCCCAGUGACAGCAGAAACAGGGCAGCCAGGC